rnacentral:rRNA from 1 species
UGGCAAGCGUUAUCCGGAUUUAUUGGGCGUAAAGCGAGCGCAGGCGGUCUUUUAAGUCUAAUGUGAAAGCCUUCGGCUCAACCGAAGAAGUGCAUUGGAAACUGGGAGACUUGAGUGCAGAAGAGGACAGUGGAACUCCAUGUGUAGCGGUGAAAUGCGUAGAUAUAUGGAAGAACACCAGUGGCGAAGGCGGCUGUCUGGUCUGUAACUGACGCUGAGGCUCGAAAGCAUGGGUAGCGAACAGGAUUAGAUACCCUGGUAGUCCAUGCCGUAAACGAUGAUUACUAAGUGUUGGAGGGUUUCCGCCCUUCAGUGCUGCAGCUAACGCAUUAAGUAAUCCGCCUGGGGAGUACGACCGCAAGGUUGAAACUCAAAAGAAUUGACGGGGGCCCGCACAAGCGGUGGAGCAUGUGGUUUAAUUCGAAGCUACGCGAAGAACCUUACCAGGUCUUGACAUCUUCUGCCAACCUAAGAGAUUAGGCGUUCCCUUCGGGGA